GGAUGAACGCUAGCGACAGGCCUAACACAUGCAAGUCGAGGGGCAGCACAUGAGUAGCAAUACGAUGGUGGCGACCGGCGCACGGGUGAGUAACACGUAUGCAACCUGCCUGUAAGAGGGGAAUAACCCGGAGAAAUUCGGACUAAUACCGCAUAAUACCACGAGACUGCAUGGUUUUGUGGUUAAACAUUUAUGGCUUACAGAUGGGCAUGCGUAUGAUUAGAUAGUUGGUAGGGUAACGGCCUACCAAGUCUACGAUCAUUAGGGGUUCUGAGAGGAAGGUCCCCCACACUGGUACUGAGACACGGUCCAGACUCCUACGGGAGGCAGCAGUGGGGAAUAUUGCACAAUGGACGAAAGUCUGAUGCAGCAACGCCGCGUGGAGGAUGACACAUUUCGGUGCGUAAACUCCUUUUAUAUGAGAAGAUAAUGACGGUAUUAUAUGAAUAAGCACCGGCUAACUCCGUGCCAGCAGCCGCGGUAAUACGGGGGGUGCAAGCGUUACUCGGAAUCACUGGGCGUAAAGAGCAUGUAGGCGGAUUGAUAAGUUUGAAGUGAAAUCCUAUAGCUUAACUAUAGAACUGCUUUGAAAACUGUUAAUCUAGAAUGUGGGAGAGGUAGAUGGAAUUUCUGGUGUAGGGGUAAAAUCCGUAGAGAUCAGAAGGAAUACCGAUUGCGAAGGCGAUCUACUGGAACAUUAUUGACGCUGAGAUGCGAAAGCGUGGGGAGCAAACAGGAUUAGAUACCCUGGUAGUCCACGCCCUAAACGAUGUACACUAGUUGUUGUGAGACUUGAUCUUGCAGUAAUGCAGUUAACACAUUAAGUGUACCGCCUGGGGAGUACGGUCGCAAGAUUAAAACUCAAAGGAAUAGACGGGGACCCGCACAAGCGGUGGAGCAUGUGGUUUAAUUCGACGAUACACGAAGAACCUUACCUGGACUUGACAUAGUAAGAACUUUCUAGAGAUAGAUUGGUGUCUGCUUGCAGAAACUUAUAUACAGGUGCUGCACGGCUGUCGUCAGCUCGUGUCGUGAGAUGUUGGGUUAAGUCCCGCAACGAGCGCAACCCUCGUGUUUAGUUGCUAACAGUUCGGCUGAGAACUCUAAACAGACUGCCUACGCAAGUAGGAGGAAGGUGAGGACGACGUCAAGUCAUCAUGGCCCUUACGUCCAGGGCUACACACGUGCUACAAUGGGAUAUACAAAGAGCCGCAAUACGGUGACGUGGAGCAAAUCUUAUAAAAUAUCUCCCAGUUCGGAUUGUAGUCUGCAACUCGACUACAUGAAGUUGGAAUCGCUAGUAAUCGUAGAUCAGCUAUGCUACGGUGAAUACGUUCCCGGGUCU
rnacentral:rRNA from 1 species